AUGCAAGUCGAACGGUAGAGGGGGCAACCCCUCGAGAGUGGCGAACGGGUGAGUAAUAUAUCGGAACGUGCCCAGUCGUGGGGGAUAACGUAGCGAAAGUUACGCUAAUACCGCAUACGAUCUACGGAUGAAAGCGGGGGAUCGCAAGACCUCGCGCGAUUGGAGCGGCCGAUAUCAGAUUAGGUAGUUGGUGGGGUAAAGGCUCACCAAGCCAACGAUCUGUAGCUGGUCUGAGAGGACGACCAGCCACACUGGAACUGAGACACGGUCCAGACUCCUACGGGAGGCAGCAGUGGGGAAUUUUGGACAAUGGACGCAAGUCUGAUCCAGCCAUUCCGCGUGCAGGAUGAAGGCCCUCGGGUUGUAAACUGCUUUUGUACGGAACGAAAAGGUCUCUCCUAAUACGAGGGGCUCAUGACGGUACCGUAAGAAUAAGCACCGGCUAACUACGUGCCAGCAGCCGCGGUAAUACGUAGGGUGCAAGCGUUAAUCGGAAUUACUGGGCGUAAAGCGUGCGCAGGCGGUUAUGUAAGACAGAGGUGAAAUCCCCGGGCUCAACCUGGGAACGGCCUUUGUGACUGCAUAGCUAGAGUACGGUAGAGGGGGAUGGAAUUCCGCGUGUAGCAGUGAAAUGCGUAGAUAUGCGGAGGAACACCGAUGGCGAAGGCAAUCCCCUGGACCUGUACUGACGCUCAUGCACGAAAGCGUGGGGAGCAAACAGGAUUAGAUACCCUGGUAGUCCACGCCCUAAACGAUGUCAACUGGUUGUUGGGGUCU
rnacentral:rRNA from 1 species